rnacentral:rRNA from 1 species
UACGUAGGGUGCAAGCGUUGUCCGGAUUCAUUGGGCGUAAAGAGCGUGUAGGCGGCCAGGUAGGUCGGUUGUGAAAACUGGAGGCUCAACCUUCAGAGGUCGACCGAAACCAUCUGGCUAGAGUCCGGGAGAGGAGAGUGGAAUUCCUGGUGUAGCGGUGGAAUGCGCAGAUAUCAGGAGGAACACCGGUGGCGAAGGCGGGUCUCUGGGCAGUAACUGACGCUGAGGAGCGAAAGCGUGGGGAGCGAACAGG